CCUACGGGUGGCUGCAGUGGGGGAUAUUGCACAAUGGGGGAAACCCUGAUGCAGCGACGCCGCGUGGGUGAAGAAGCGCCUCGGCGCGUAAAGCCCUGUCAGCAGGGAAGAAAAUGACGGUACCUGAAGAAGAAGCCCCGGCUAACUACGUGCCAGCAGCCGCGGUAAUACGGAGGAUGCGAGCGUUAUCCGGAUUUAUUGGGUUUAAAGGGUGCGUAGGCGGACAGUCAAGUCAGCGGUAAAAAUGCGGUGCUCAACGCCGUACAGCCGUUGAAACUGGCAGUCUUGAGUGGGCGAGAAGUAUGCGGAAUGCGUGGUGUAGCGGUGAAAUGCAUAGAUAUCACGCAGAACUCCGAUUGCGAAGGCAGCAUACCGGCGCCCGACUGACGCUGAGGCACGAAAGCGUGGGUAUCGAACAGGAUUAGAUACCCUUGUAGUC
rnacentral:rRNA from 1 species